ACGGGAGGCAGCAGUGGGGAAUAUUGGGCAAUGGGCGAAAGCCUGACCCAGCAACGCCGCGUGAAGGAAGAAGGUCUUCGGAUUGUAAACUUCUUUUGUGAGGGACGAAGGACGUGACGGUACCUCAUGAAUAAGCCACGGCUAACUACGUGCCAGCAGCCGCGGUAAUACGUAGGUGGCAAGCGUUAUCUGGAUUUACUGGGUGUAAAGGGCGCGUAGGCGGGGAUGCAAGUCAGAUGUGAAAUCUAUGAGCUUAACUCAUAAACUGCAUUUGAAACCGUAUCUCUUGAGUGCUGGAGAGGUAGACGGAAUUCCUAGUGUAGCGGUGAAAUGCGUAGAUAUUAGGAAGAACACCAGUGGCGAAGGCGGUCUACUGGACAGUAACUGACGCUGAGGCGCGAAAGCGUGGGGAGCAAACAGGAUUAGAUACCCUGGUA
rnacentral:rRNA from 1 species